AACGCACGAGACCUGCGGACCUGCGGAAGGAUCAUUACCGAGUUCUCGCCCCUCGCGGGGUAGACCUCCCACCCACUGUGAUCACUACCGUCGUUGCUUUGGCGGGCCGCUGGGCCCAGCCCACCGCCGGCUCCAGCUGGCGCGUGCCCGCCAGAGGCCCUACAAACGCUGGAUAUCAGUGCCGUCUGAGUACACAUGUUAAUCGUUAAAACUUUUAACAAUGGAUCUCUAGAUCGGAAG
rnacentral:misc_RNA from 1 species